GACGAACGCUGGCGGCGUGCUUAACACAUGCAGGUCGAACGGAAAGGCCCUGCUUUUGUGGGGUGCUCGAGAGGCGAACGGGUGAGUAACACGUGAGUAACCUGCCCUUGACUUUGGGAUAACUUCAGGAAACUGGGGCUAAUACCGGAUAGGAGCUCCUGCUGCAUGGUGGGGGUUGGAAAGUUUCGGCGGUUGGGGAUGGACUCGCGGCUUAUCAGCUUGUUGGUGGGGUAGUGGCUUACCAAGGCUUUGACGGGUAGCCGGCCUGAGAGGGUGACCGGCCACAUUGGGACUGAGAUACGGCCCAGACUCCUACGGGAGGCAGCAGUGGGGAAUAUUGCACAAUGGGCGGAAGCCUGAUGCAGCAACGCCGCGUGCGGGAUGACGGCCUUCGGGUUGUAAACCGCUUUCGCCUGUGACGAAGCGUGAGUGACGGUAAUGGGUAAAGAAGCACCGGCUAACUACGUG
rnacentral:rRNA from 1 species